GACGAACGCUGGCGGCGUGCUUAACACAUGCAAGUCGAACGGAAAGGCCCUGCUUUUGUGGGGUGCUCGAGUGGCGAACGGGUGAGUAACACGUGAGUAUCCUGCUCUUGACUUUGGGAUAACUUCAGGAAACUGGGGCCAAUACCGGAUAGGAGCCCCUGCUGCAUGGUGGGGGUUGGAAAGUUUCGGCGGUUGGGGAUGGACUCGCGGCUUAUCAGCUUGUUGGUGGGGUAGUGGCUUACCAAGGCUUUGACGGGUAGCCGGCCUGUGAGGGUGACCGGCGACAUGGGGACUGAGAUACGGCCCAGACUCCUACGGUAGGCAGCAGUGGGGAGUAUUACACAAUGAGCGGGAGCCUGUUGCAGCAACGCCGCGUGCGUGACGACGGCCUUCGGGUUGUGAACCGCUUUCGCCUGAGACGAAGCGUGAGUGACGGUAAUGGGUAAAGAAGCACCGGCUAACUACGUG
rnacentral:rRNA from 1 species